UACAGAGGGUGCGAACGUUGUUCGGAAUUACUGGGCGUAAAGCGCGUGUAGGCGGUCGUGCAAGUCGGGUGUGAAAGCCCUGGGCUCAACCCAGGAAGUGCAUUCGAUACUGCGCGACUGGAGUCCCGGAGAGGAUGGUGGAACUCUCGGUGUAGAGGUGAAAUUCGUAGAUAUCGAGAAGAACACCGGUGGCGAAGGCGGCCAUCUGGACGGUGACUGACGCUGAGACGCGAAAGCGUGGGGAGCAAACAGG
rnacentral:rRNA from 1 species